AGCAGUAGCCGCGGGAAUACGGAGGGAGCUAGCGUUGUUCGGAAUUACUGGGCGUAAAGCGCGCGUAGGCGGUUACUCAAGUCAGAGGUGAAAGCCCGGGGCUCAACCCCGGAACUGCCUUUGAAACUAGGUGACUAGAAUCUUGGAGAGGUCAGUGGAAUUCCGAGUGUAGAGGUGAAAUUCGUAGAUAUUCGGAAGAACACCAGUGGCGAAGGCGACUGACUGGACAAGUAUUGACGCUGAGGUGCGAAAGCGUGGGGAGCAAACAGGAUUAGAUACCCCAGUAGUCCCUGUCUCUUAUAC
rnacentral:rRNA from 1 species